rnacentral:rRNA from 1 species
CAGAGGUCUCAAGCGUUGUUCGGAUUCAUUGGGCGUAAAGGGUGCGUAGGUGGCAUGGUAAGUUGAAGGUGAAAUCUCGGAGCUCAACUCCGAAACUGCCUUCAAUACUGCUGUGCUCGAGGACUGUAGAGGAGAAUGGAAUUCACGGUGUAGCAGUGAAAUGCGUAGAUAUCGUGAGGAAGACCAGUGGCGAAGGCGAUUCUCUGGGCAGUUCCUGACACUGAGGCACGAAGGCUAGGGGAGCAAACGGGAUUAGAUACCCCGGUAGUCCUAGCAGUAAACGGUGCACGUUUGGUGUGGGAGGAUUCGACCCCUUCCGUGCCGGAGCUAACGCGUUAAACGUGCCGCCUGGGAAGUACGGUCGCAAGAUUA